rnacentral:rRNA from 1 species
AUGUAUGUUUCCACUGGCUGGGUUGGGCUGGGCUGUUUGGGAACUGGGAUUUUUAAAUGGUGGCCAAUAGUAACUAAAAUUCAUACAAGGUUAAUUACCACACGGACACAGUCAAAGAAGAUAGUAAGUAUAUAUGAAGAAGAAGAGCACAUGUGCAUCGUGGAGGACACAAUCAGAAACAAGAUGCCUGCACGUAAGGUGAUGGGGGUGCUGCUCUUUCUUGCUCUCCUGUGGAGCAGCCACCUGGUGAUGGUAGCCGAGGCUGCCGAGGAUAUCCUUCCGUCAGACGAGCUGAGCCUUGAGGUUCUUGCACUGCUCGAGGACAUCAUGAAGUCCAACCUGUGCCCGGCAGCAUGCGUGACCUGCUUGUGCAGGUCGGGAAGAGCUGCCCUCUCAUCUUGA